AGGUUAUCCUUGUGACUCAAGGGACAGCCACGUUUGUUAAAAUGAGCUUUUAAAUUGAAGGAUGAGCUGACAGGCAUGGCCGUGCUGUUUUUAAAUCGAUGAUCAAGGUCUUGGUUUGUAACUAAUUGUGCCUCUUACAGGUUUUGUUUGUAAGCUGAAGAUCUUGGUGCAGCAUAAGCAAGCCUGUAAAGGGAAACGGGUUGGAAACUGCCCCAUCAACCGUGAGAAAUGCGAAAAGCAGGCGGCGGGCAGAGGGGGAGAGACGAGCCGGAUUCCUCACAUGCUUUCCCUCUGCCAUCACCGCCUCCAAGGUGCUGUUGGCCAUGGAAAGCUGCCGGGGAGCGGCGAACGAGAGCCAGCCACCAGCAAACGCUGUGGCAAAAUGGGACGGAGAGCUGAAGAGCUGGGUUUUUCCUUUGGUCGACCUGCGUUAAUGACAACCGUAUCCCAGCCGGAUUGCUGCAGCGUUGUCCUUUCCGGCAGACCACUCGGACGCAUUUCCUGCAUCUUCCUGGAUUCAAGGCAACCUAAAAAGCUAACGGCUCUUUCGUGAAGUGUGGUCUGGUUGAGGCAGAAGGAUGAAAAGCAGCCGGAAUCAUUCUGGGUUAAAAAUAAGUGGAGCAGUGCAAGCCCUGAAUGUCUCCAGCUUCGCGAUUUGGAGCAUGGCCAGGAUGUAAAAAAAACAACAAAA